AACGAACGCUGGCGGCAUGCCUAACACAUGCAAGUCGAACGAGACCUUCCGGUCUAGUGGCGCACGGGUGCGUAACGCGUGGUAACCUGCCCUUAGGUUCGGGAUAACUCCCCGAAAGGGGUGCUAAUACCGGAUAAUGUCUUCGGACAAAAGAUUUAUCGCCAUUGGAUGGGCCCGCGUUGGGUUAGCUAGUUGGUAGGGUAAAAGAGUACGAAGGCGAGGAGCUAGAGCUGGUCUGAGAGGAUGAUCAGCCACACUUGGACUGAGACACGGUCGAGAAUACUCCGGGACGGAGCAGUGAGUCAUCUUGGACUAUGGGCGGAAGCGUGAUCCCGCACUGCCGCGUGAGUGAUGACGUCCUUAGCGUUGUAACGCUCUUUUACGCGGGAUGAUAAUGACAGUACCGGGAGAAUAAGCUCCGGCUAACUCCGUG
rnacentral:rRNA from 1 species